rnacentral:rRNA from 1 species
UACGGAGGGGACUAGCGUUGCUCGGAAUCACUGGGCGUAAAGGGUGCGUAGGCGGGUCUUUAAGUCAGGGGGGAAAUCCUGGAGCUCAACUCCAGAACUGCCUUUGAUACUGAAGAUCUUGAGUUCGGGAGAGGUGAGUGGAACUGCGAGUGUAGAGGUGAAAUUCGUAGAUAUUCGCAAGAACACCAGUGGCGAAGGCGGCCCACUGGCCCGAUACUGACGCUGAGGCACGAAAGCGUGGGGAGCAAACAGG